GCUCUCGUAGUUAAAUGGAUAUAACUCCUCCGUCCUAAGGAGGGUUUGUGGGUUCGAUUCCUGCCGAGAGCA
rnacentral:tRNA from 1 species